UCAUGCAUUCUGCUGUAGUUCAACCAGUUAAUCAGGGUAUUUUAUAUCAACGUGAGUGGAAUAUACUUGCUUUCUUAUUAGCUGUUAUAUUGCAAUAGACUGCGUAACACUCUCUUGUUUCUUAAAUAGCAUCGUAUGGGAUUAAAUGUUUUCACUUAUGUGAGCCUGUUUCAAUUCCCACAAAUUUUCUAUCUAGUACUUAUUCAAUGUGAUUCACUCACUUACACAUAGAAUGUUAACUGCAAUAAGUGAUGUCUUCUUCAUCACAAAACUUAAUUAUAUGUUUAAGCUGAUGUCAUUAGAUUUCUUUUGGUGGAAACUGCCAAAUUACUCCUGCAUUAUUAUAGGUGGAUUGUUCAUAAUAUAUGUUCUAAGGAUACUUGUGCUUAAAUUCCCUUAUCUACAUGUGAUAAUGGAAUUUUGCUGAAAAACAAUUUUUCCAUUCGACAAUCAAAUGAGGUAAAAGAAUAUAUUCUUGUCUUGUCUUUGGCAUUGAGAUCAAGCAGAAUAUCUUUGUUCACUGUAAUACUUGUCUUAUAUGUGCUUUUAGAAUGUGGAAUUCAAAACGUUGCUAGCAAUGCAGUAAUUGACUAUGUGGUACUUUGUUCAUAUGAAGUGUUAAGGAAAUUAUAGAGAGGCAUCGCAUCCACUCGAAGAACCUUGAGAAAAUGGAAGCCCCAUCACUUGAGUUGCAGUUGGUGGAGAGCAACAACAUGGCCAGACUGAGCAAGGAGAUUGCAGAGAAAACUCAGCAGCUGAGGAAUUUAAGGGGAGAGGAGAUCCAUGGAUUAAACAUAGAAGAGCUGCAGCAGCUCGAAAAGACUCUUGAAGUUGGAUUGAGCCGUGUGAUUGAGAAAAAGGGUGAAAAGAUUAUGAAAGAGAUUGAUGAACUUGAAAGAAGGGGAAAGCAAUUGAUGGAAGAGAAUGAGCGUUUGAGGCAGCAAGGAUCACCUCCGCGCAAAGACAAGCAGCGGCUGAUGAUUCCGACAACAUGCUCUGUGAGGAAGGCCAGUCUUCAGAGUCUGUAACCAACGGCAACUCAGGCCCCCCUCCACCCGACUCAGACAGCUCUGAUAUUUCUCUCAAGUUGGGCUUACCAUAUGCUGGUUAAAUGGGAAGCUCGGAGAAGUACUUAUCUAUAUAUCAACAAAAGGUGUAACUAUGGUCUAUUAUGGCGCUUUUGGAAACUGGGGACAUUGUAGUUAAAUUAAACCUAAAUCUAACCCACGUCUUACGAUGUGCUAGUAAUUAAGAAUUAAUGUGUAGCUAAUCACACAGAUUCUUGAGAACAUGAAAACUCUAUAUGCUCAAGUAAUGCUGUUGUUAUUAUUGGCGGUAUUCUAUGAAACGUAAUGCUCUAUCGUUGUGGUUGAGAGCC